CUCUCUCUCUCUCUCUCACACUGAUAUCAAUUGAACUAGGGUUCCAAUUUCAAUUCGUAAAUAUUGGGGAUUUUUGCACAAAAAAAUAGGGUUCCAAUUUUACUGAAAGACUGAGGUUAAAUGGAGCAAAAUACCGCAACCCACCUACAUUCUCACCUCACAAUCAACAAUUCGUGAGUUUGUUAGGUUCGAGCAUUCAGUGAUUUUAAGUGGAUGCGCAUACUUCUCACUGAUAAUGCGGCAUGAUUACCUGCUUUGUUUAAUUUGUAGGAGUAAGGUUUCCUUGAGUAAAAUCUCCAACAACUUGACUGCGACCUUUUUCUUUACUUGUCUAGUCAAAAUGCCUUGUUUGUAGUUUAUACAUGGGCGUUAACUACCAGAUGUGGAAGAUUCGUUCUGUUCUUUGAGAAAGAAGCCUAUGGAGCUUGAUUAUGCAUGAUUACAGAAGUAUGCCCUGGUCUCCUAACCUUUUUCCCAAGACAGUGCUACCUGAUUCCGUUGCUUUAACUUCUAUAUAUCUAUUUUGCCUCUCAUCUCUAAUGCUUAUCAUUUUUUGAACUUUUCUUUAGUUCAUAACUCAUUUCCCUACUUUUGUUUAAAAGAGAGAAAAUUUCAGGUCCAGCGCAACCUCCUUAGGGGUGCAAUCUCAGUUGACUACUCUUGCAGGAAUAAUUAGAGCUAUUGAUCCAAAGCUUCAUGAACACCUUCAGGAACUAAAUGGUGGGCAGUAUCUGUUUGCACUCUGUAUGCUGAUGGUACUUUUCCAGAGAGAGUUGUCAAUUGUAGAUGUGCUGUACCUUUGGGAGGUGAUGUGGGCAAUGGAAUAUAAUCCAAACAUCUCUUCAUUAUAUGAGGUUUCAAGGUCUAGAUCAGAUGUGGCACCAAAUGAAAAUGCUGUAUCCAGAAUGGAUAUUAAGCAGCUGAAGCAAUAUGGGAAAUAUGAGAGAAAACUUAUAAAGACUGGACACGGGGACUAAAAGAGCGCCCUCGUAGUUUUCCUCGUUGCAAGUGUCAUUGAGGCCAAGAAAAAAUGACUUCUGAAAAAAGCUAAAAGUCCAGACGAUGUUGUCAAGGUUUACAUUCCGCGUCCCUCUUGUUUCUCUUCUUCACCUUCGAUUAGAUGUGUCUGAAAUAUAACUUAUUUGAACCUACUUUUACCGAUUGUGGGGGAAAUAACGGCUAGUCUGGAUGCGAAAGGGCAUUGAGAGGCGCAUUGAAGAUCCAGGAAAAGUACCUACAGAAGGCAAGCUCAUCCUUUUGUUUCUCUUUCGUUAUAUCCUCAUUCCAUCCUCACAUGCAUGCAUAUGACUUGGGUUUCCACACAUGGCUUGCUGCUUAUAGUGCUUACCUAUGCAUGCAGGCCAAGCAAUUGUAGCUAUGCAAGAGGAAGGGAGAGCACAAAGCAGUUCCACAACUCCAAAAUCCAGUUCCGCUUGGUGUUUGAAGCGUCCAGCCAAGAAGAGAUGCUAGCUACACUUAGGAUUUAUCUUUUUCAUUUUGCUUGUAAUAUAGCUUAGGGUAGACAACGAUGAUGAUGUUCGGCUCAUGGCCUUUGCUCCAAUUUGACAAUGUUUCAUGGCUUGUUUAAAAAGAUACAAGUUUGUACUCCAUUUUUGUUGCUGUAUUGGUUUUAGAGUGGUACAUUUUGAGAUAAUGAGUGGUACAUUAUGAAAUUCAAAUAUCACUAUGGUGUCAACUUCUUG